rnacentral:rRNA from 1 species
UGGGGAAUCUUGCACAAUGGGGGCAACCCUGAUGCAGCGACGCCGCGUGAGCGAUGAAGCCCUUCGGGGCGUAAAGCUCUUUCGACCGGAACGAUAAUGACGGUACCGGGAGAAGAAGCUGCGGCUAACUACGUGCCAGCAGCCGCGGUAAUACGUAGGCAGCAAGCGUUGUUCGGAGUUACUGGGCGUAAAGAGUGCGUAGGCGGUUUUCUAAGUUCGGUGUGAAAUCUCCCGGCUUAACUGGGAGGGUGCGCCGAAGACUGGGAAGCUGGAGUGUGGGAAAGGCAGGCGGAAUUCCUGGUGUAGCGGUGAAAUGCGUAGAUAUCUGGAAGAACACCGGUUGCGAAGGCGGUCUCUUGGUCCGACACUGACGCUGAGGCGCGAAAGCGUGGGGAGCAAACA